UAUAAAGUUUGCUGUCUCCUUUGUUCGCCCUCGUUGCGCAGUAGUGCUGGCGGCUUUUACGUUCGGUCUUCGAAGCCGGCAGCCGUAGGUUGUGCUGAGGUGCUGUUAGGAAGCCCUGUCAGCGAGCUCUUAGGAGCUUGAAACCUUCGUCACGCCUCCGACACGCCGAGAACAAAAAUGGUUGAAGCAGACCGCCCAGGAAAGCUCUUCAUUGGUGGGCUUAAUACAGAAACAAAUGAAAAAGCUCUUGAAGCGGUAUUUGGCAAAUAUGGACGAAUAGUGGAAGUGCUCUUGAUGAAAGACAGAGAAACCAACAAAUCCAGAGGAUUUGCUUUUAUCACCUUUGAAAGCCCAGCAGAUGCAAAAGAUGCAGCCAGAGACAUGAAUGGAAAGUCUUUAGAUGGAAAAGCCAUCAAAGUGGAACAAGCUACAAAACCAUCAUUUGAAAGUGGUAGACGUGGACCACCUCCACCUCCAAGAAGCAGAGGCCCUCCGAGAGGUCUUAGGGGUGGAAGAGGAGGAAGUGGAGGAACCAGGGGACCUCCCUCUCGGGGAGGGCACAUGGAUGAUGGUGGCUAUUCCAUGAAUUUUAACAUGAGUUCUUCCAGGGGACCACUCCCAGUAAAAAGAGGACCACCACCACGAAGUGGGGGUCCUCCUCCUAAAAGAUCUGCCCCUUCAGGACCAGUUCGCAGUAGCAGUGGAAUGGGAGGAAGAGCUCCUGUAUCACGUGGAAGAGACAGUUACGGAGGCCCACCUCGAAGAGAACCCUUGCCCUCUCGUAGAGAUGUUUAUUUGUCCCCAAGAGAUGAUGGAUAUUCUACUAAAGACAGCUAUUCAAGCAGAGACUACCCAAGUUCUCGAGAUACAAGAGAUUAUGCACCACCACCAAGAGAUUAUACUUAUCGCGAUUAUGGUCAUUCCAGUUCACGUGAUGACUAUCCAUCAAGAGGCUAUAGUGAUAGAGAUGGAUACGGUCGUGAUCGUGACUAUUCAGAUCAUCCAAGUGGAGGUUCCUACAGAGACUCAUAUGAGAGUUAUGGUUGAGGAUUAUUGUCAUUAUGAUCAUGGAGUGCUGAUUUAUUCACAGUAGAUAAAAGCUGGCAGCAAGAGAAAUCAAAUGCUAAGAGUUGUUGAAGCGGAAGAAUGCUGGUUGCUAAGUCACAACGGGUUGCAUAAGCAGUGCUGUCAGAAUUGGUUUGGUGGAGGCAAUUGCCUUCAAGGGUUCUUGUGGAUCUGAAGAGGGCAUCAGUGUUAACACUUAAAUAGGGAGUGGUAGUUACUUAAAAUUGGCCAAAUGGAGAAAAGAAAGCAAUUAAGGAAAUUGGUCAGUGGAGGUAGUCAGGGAGUUCUUGUGGUUCUUCACCUUUUGCAACUUUGGCUUUCAUUUUAUUUAGCUAAAGUGAGGGCAACUGCAGUUUAGAACUUGAAUUAGAAAAAUAAUGGAUAGAAGUGGUUAACUCUUAUCCAGUAAAGUGUCCUGAUUUUUCAGCAAGUGAAACAUCUUGUGGCCUUAGCUUAUCUGAUGAGGGUUUAGUUUGUAAAAGAAAACUAACAGGGAGUGAGGUCUGGAAACAAAAGUAAAAUAACUAGAAACUUUGCUGACAUUUAAAAACACACUUAAAACUGGAAGCAAAACCAAAUCACUUGGCUUUGUUUACUGUAUUGUUUUGUAAACCUACUUUACCCCCACCUCCUAACCUUGGAAACAAAUUACACAAUUUUAGUUAUUGCCUUGAAGAUGAUAGCCAGUAUUCUCAGAGGAAACAAAUUUGAGUUUGUUGGGUUAUAGAAACUAACUCAACUGAGAUUUUUUUUUUGUGUGUUGGAAUUAAAGCACUGAUGUUUAGUCACUGGGGAAGAUGGUUUUUUGUUGUUUUUGUUUUGUUUUUAUUGGAGGCGGAGUCUUCAUUUUGUCGCCCUUGGUAGAGUGUCCUGACGUCAUAGCUCACAGCAAACCUCAAAAUCUUGGGCUCAAGCCAUUCUCUUGCCUCAGCCUCCUGAGUAGUUGGGACUAGGGACCUGCCACAAUGCCUGGUUAUUUUUUAGAGAGGUGGUCUCUGGCUUAGGCUGGUCUCCAACCUGUAAGCUCAGGCAAUCCACCCGCCUCAGCCUCCCAAGUGCUAGGAUUACAGGUGUGAGCCACUGUGCUUGGCCUGAUAGUUUUUAUCCUCAUUUGAUAAGACUUCAUAGUCUCAGACCAUGAGGAUAUUGACCAAGUUUACAUACUUGUUGCACUUCAUAGCUCUCUUAGCUCAGUCCUUCCAUACUGUAAUUACUUGGAUUAAUGCUUCUAUGAGUACAUUUUGGCUUUUGAGAUUUUGUUUAUCCCUAAAUAGUGUAGAAUAUAGAGAUUAAUCAUAGUAAAUAUGAGUUCCAAAUUGAAAGUACAGAGCAGGCUUAUUAAAUCAUCAGGUACCUGUACCUGUUGCUGUUGGACAAAUAGUUUACUGACCUUGCAAGCUUGUGGAAAAAGAAUCACUCUUGAUUCUUCUGGCUUUAUUAUAACUGGUUGGUUGUAAAUGAAACAGAAUAAUACAGAAAAUGUUUUCCUUGUUUAACUGGUAGUGGAAAAUAGAAUUUAGGUAUUAUAGAUCACUUUCAGUAUGUUUUUUUUAUAUAUAAACUUAAUAAAACUUUAACUUCAUCUUUUUCGUGGCAAUGGGUCCUUUAUACUCUUGGAGGUAGAAAUUUCUUUAGGCUUUUAAGUGUUAUUUUUCUACACACACACCCCCCAUUGUACCUCUAAUGCAUUGCUGGCACUUGAUCAGCAUUCUAGAGUCAUUGAGGUGACCUCCCUUGACAAGGCCUCCUUUAUGGGGGGCUGUAGAGAGUAUUUCAGCUGAUUUAAUUUAAUACUCUAAAAAUUGGGGUGAUCACACCUGAACUAGAAGCUAAACCACCAGGAAUCCACUGUAGCACUUCUAUUUCCUGCUUAAUUGUUGGAAAAACAGGGCAAUAACAAUUUACUUGUGAUAGAGGAUCCCAAACACUGUGGACAAAGUUCUUCAAUACUGUUAAGCUACAGGCUUCUAUGUUUUGCAGCUUUCAGUUUCUCUGUUCUAUCCUGUUUUCAUCUAAUUGGUGCUCAUUUGCACCUUUAACAGAACAGGACAUUGCAUUUGGGUUAUAUAGCCAGUAACAGAACUCUCAAUCACGUGGAAAAGGAAUGCAGCUGGAAUCCCACAUCAAGAUUGUGGGGAAAUCCCUAAGCAGUGUCAUUUUGUAUGUUGCCUCAACUCCUCAGAAUUUCCGACCCAUCAGUUUUUGUUUUUUUGUUUUUUUUUUUUUUAAAGAGACAGUCUCACUUUGUCACCCUUGGUAGAGUGCUGUGACGUCACAGCUCACAGCAACCUCCAGCUCUUGGGUUUAGGUGAUUCUCUUGCCUCAGCCUUCCGAGUAGCUGGGACUACAGGUGCCCACCACAACGCCUGGCUAUUUUUUGCAGUUUGGCCAGGGCCAAGUUUGAACCCACCACCCUUGGCAUAUGGGGCCAGCACCCUACUCAUGGAACCACAGGUGCUGUCCCAUGGCCCAUUCUAUAAAUAGCACACAUCAAUUUAUUUACCUGAAAAGUAUUUUCAAUUUACAUAUGGAUAAUUAGGUCAAUAUGGGUUUUUCAGGUAAAAUUUAAGUGCUGAAAUGUUUAAGUAUCCUAUCAUUCCAUGAACUGUGGUAAGUGCACGUAUUCUGUCACGCUAAGAGUAUUUAGCCCUCACCUCGGAAAGUUAACCACGUGGCCCUUCCCAGAUGAUUCCUACUCAUCCUGCAAAAGUGCUUUUUUUCUUUAGUUUCAUAAUUUUGCCUGUUAAUAGGAAAUCAAGUGAUGUCAUAAUAUAUGGAGCCUGUGUCUUUCAUGCAGCAAAAUAAUUGAGAUUUACCAAUGUGUAUGUCAUUACUUUGUUGUUAGUAUGAGUGUGGUACAGUUAGCUAUUGAGGGGAACCUGGGCCUUUUCUAUUUUUUUGGCUGUUACAGAUAAAGUUGCUAAUGAAUCUCUUACAUAAAUCUGUAUGUGUAAUUAUUGAGAAAUAAAAACAUGGAAUCGCUGGAUUGAAGAAAUGUGUAUAGUUUCCUGAG